rnacentral:rRNA from 1 species
AACGAACGCUGGCGGCAUGCCUAACACAUGCAAGUCGAACGAGACCUUCGGGUCUAGUGGCGCACGGGUGCGUAACGCGUGGGAACCUGCCCUUAGGUUCGGAAUAACUCCCCGAAAGGGGUGCUAAUACCGGAUAAUGUCUUCGGACCAAAGAUUUAUCGCCUUUGGAUGGGCCCGCGUUGGAUUAGCUAGUUGGUAGGGUAAAAGCCUACCAAGGCGACGAUCCAUAGCUGGUCUGAGAGGAUGAUCAGCCACACUGGGACUGAGACACGGCCCAGACUCCUACGGGAAGCAGCAGCGGGGAAUAUUGGACAAUGGGCGAAAGCCUGAUCCAGCAAUGCCGCGUGAGUGAUGAAGGCCUUAGGGUUGUAAAGCUCUUUUACCCGGGAUGAUAAUGACAGUACCGGGAGAAUAAGCUCCGGCUAACUCCGUG